ACCAGGUGGCAGCAGUUCUCCAUGUUGCCACCAGGGAGAAGGACCUCGCUGCAGCGAACAGAAAGGGGCGGGGACGGACCUUUCCGUCAGUCCCAUACCUUAUUUGGAAAUGGGACUAUUGCAUUCCGGAAAUGAAGGGGGCGCUAUUUUCAUAAUCACUAGUAUAAAUACCUUAAGACGCAGGUUAAGAGGAACAGAAGAAGAAAGAAAGAAGUUUGAGAGGUUCUUCCACUGGUGUUCGGCUCACGAUCAACAAUGCAAAACUCACAAAGUCAACAAAAGAUCCACGUAUCUAUUUGCAACAUGAACAUAAAUAUUGCUGUUCCCUUUGCUCAUACAAGCUACAGAACCAUUUAGCACAAACUGCUAUGGUUCAACAUAUCGAUGCCUCUGAAUGUUCUUGAAGCUGUUCUCCAGGAGGUGGCGCUAGCACAGGGAGACUCAGCUUACCUCACCUUGGCAUUGACCUGCAAGUGCUUUGAAGCCGUUGAGUCUGACCCAGUUUUCAGGAAGAAGACUCACUUUGCUUGGCUGGAUGGUAAGGACCUUUGACUUUUUUCACCUAAAACAUGUGAAAUUAGAUUUCAACUACAUGAAAUCGAUUUUUCAUUAACAGGUGAGAUCAACUGGGGCAAAUUUUCAAAAACAUUCAAGGCAGAAAACCGGAUUCCUUUUGCGGUUGUAACGUGUUUUUCCUGCAACCGGUGAUAUAAAGACUGUGGGCUUCACCGGCGAUGGAAGACGAGGAGAGUACCCUGGUUACUACUGUGAUGGCCGACCUGGACACUACACUGACUGUCAAUACUGAAUGCAAGGAGAAUAUUAGUUGCUUUCCACAAUCUUUCACACAUUUCAGUUGUCACACAUUGUUAGUUUUUUUUUGUGACAUGCCAUUUUAAAUCAUUUCUGCUAAAGAAUAUUUGCCUUUUGACUUGUGCAGUCAUCCUUUUUAAUAAUGUGUUCUUUCAAUAUUAUUUACAUUUUUGAAUGUUCCUUUUGUUGUAGCUCAGUUGAUUUACAUUAUUUAGUUUUCAUAGAAAUGGUGCCGUUUCCACACAAAGUUACAUUGUGGCUGUAAUUUGUUGGAGAGAGUAGAACCAAUAAUGUAGUUGUAAAUAUAUUGUAACA